UACGUAGGGGGCUAGCGUUGUCCGGAUUUAUUGGGCGUAAAGAGCGUGUAGGCGGCCAGAUAGGUCCGUUGUGAAAACCCGAGGCUUAACCUCGGGACGUCGAUGGAAACCAUUUGGCUAGAGUCCGGAAGAGGAGAGUGGAAUUCCUGGUGUAGCGGUGAAAUGCGCAGAUAUCAGGAAGAACACCCGUGGCGAAGGCGGCUCUCUGGGACGGUACUGACGCUGAGACGCGAAAGCGUGGGGAGCAAACAGG
rnacentral:rRNA from 2 species